CCUCUCACGUCACCCAAACCCUAACAUAACUGACCCAGCCAGCCCCUCGCUCCCCGCGCCGCCGCCCCAUCGUGUCCUGCUCCUCAUGCCGAUGAGGACGACGAGGAUCCGGCGAAUAGGAGGAGAGCGGGAUGUCGAGGCAGCCCCUCGCCGUCGUGCUCACGCACUUCCACCUCGUGUCCCGCUCGAGGAAGACGACGGGAGUGGCAACGAAAAGCACUACAAAGAGGAGGAAUAGAGCGGAGACGAGCGGGAAGAGGACGCCGACCACCAAGCCUCCGAGCAGGAAGACUACACAUGAGAUGAGAUGCUUGCGGAGGCGAGAAAGAUCGAGCGCAACUAUAAAGAACAACAAUGUAGUUUGAGGCUAUCCAUGUAUUUUGGGUCAUUAUCUAAAUGCACAGGUGAUGUAAAUGUAGUAAAAUCCCAUUGACGUAGUCGUCAAGCUAAGGUAUGCACCCAAGCUAAUUUUAAUUCAGAUCAGCAUUACAAUUUCACCCGGUCACA